AGACAGAGGAGGCAAGCGUUGUUCGGAAUCACUGGGCUUAAAGCGCGUGUAGGCGGCUUGGUAAGUGUCGUGUGAAAUCCCAUGGCUCAACCAUGGAACUGCACGGCAAACUACCUGGCUUGAGGUCGGUAGAGGUGCCUGGAACUCUAGGUGGAGCGGUGAAAUGCGUAGAUAUCUAGAGGAACGCCAGAAGCGAAAGCGGGGCACUGGGCCGAUUCUGACGCUGAGACGCGAAAGCGUGGGGAGCAAACAGGAUUAGAUACCCUGGUAGUCCACGCCGUAAACGAUGCACACUAGACGUUGGGGCCUCUGACGGAACCGGCGUCGUAGCAAAAGUGCUAAGUGUGCCGCCUGGGGAGUACGGCCGCAAGGCUAAA
rnacentral:rRNA from 1 species